CCCGUUCUCAUCAGUCUGCGUAUAAAUAACACGACUUUACAUUUUCUAUUUGCGUGUAAUGCAUACGCCAAAUGCCAUUUUUGCGUGCAUAUGAUACGCCAAUCCUUCCCAUUAAUUUCGGUGGAGAGCAGAUGCGUCCAAAUAACACGCAUCAUCUUCAGCGGCAGUGACGUCACUAGCGUGGCUCGUUCAGUUCACCUGAUGCGCGUACACCUUCAAACAGGUAAGCAAGGGUAAAUAUAUUUUUUUAUUCUUCUUUUUGUAAUGAUAUCACGUGGUUAAGCGUAUUGUUUUAAUUAUUUCAGUAUUUCUGCAUCACGUUAGACAGGGUCGUGUUUUUAAAGGGCAGUUUAUGCUCAAAUUAUGGGUCAGUGGGCUGCUCAGCUAGCCUACCAUUGUCAUUAGCCUAAGCUAACCUGUACUGUUUAUAGACCUGUUGCAGUUUUAAAUAAAUUUAUGAUGUGACAUAUGGGUCUUCAGCUUUUAGACAUGACUAAUACAAGCACAACAAAGCACCCAACCCAAUAUCGCGUGAUAAUCGUGAUCGUGUAAAAAGUCCACACAUUUAGCAUAUUUUUACAAUACUAGCCUAACUUUUGCUUGACCACGUCAUGUGUAGCCAAUACACACACAGUAACUACAGCAUAUUUACCAUGCUUCUCCUACUGUAACCGUAGUUUUACUCUGGACUUUGUAACGCACAUAACCACGACAUUUACUAUGGGUUUACCAUAGUAACCAUAGUUUUACUCUGGUAUUUGUAGUUACUAACACACAAUAACCACGACAUUUACUAUGGGUUUACCAUAGUAACCAUAGUUUUACUCUGGUAUUUGUAGUUACUAACACACAAUAACCACGACAUUUACUAUGGGUUUACCAUAGUAACCAUAGUUUUACUCUGGUAUUUGUAUUUACUAACACACAAUAACCACAACAUUUACUAUGGGUUUACCAUAGUAACCAUAGUUUUACUCUGGUAUUUGUAUUUACUAACACACAAUAACCACAACAUUUACUAUGGGUUUACCAUAGUAACCAUAGUUUUACUCUGGUAUUUGUAGUUACUAACACACAAUAACCACAACAUUUACUAUGGGUUUACCAUAGUAACCAUAGUUUUACUCUGGUAUUUGUAUUUACUAACACACAAUAACCACAACAUUUACUAUGGGUUUACCAUAGUAACCAUAGUUUUACUCUGGUAUUUGUAUUUACUAACACACAAUAACCACAACAUUUACUAUGGGUUUACCAUAGUAACCAUAGUUUUACUCUGGUAUUUGUAUUUACUAACACACAAUAACCACAACACUUACCAGGAUUUUACCACAGUAACUGUUUUUACUCUACACUAUUUGUAAAGCACAGUAACCACUAAGUUUGCCAUGCCUUUAAUAUCUUUUUGUGAUGUAAUUGUAAUUCAGUGUUUUUUCUGUCUUGCAGUUACGUCGGAUUACAUACUCCACAACAACCUGUAAUCCAGCAGAUCUUUAAAGAAGCCAUCUCUUGUCAAAUCUCUCUCUCUCUCUCUCUCUCUCUCUCUCUCUCUCUCUCUCUCUCUCUCUCUCUCUCUCUCUCUCUCUCUCUCUCUCUCGCUCUGCUAGAAUUAACAGGGAACUUCAACUCCACGCUCCCAAUGCUGAUAUUGAAGAAGCAGUCAAGGGGGCUGAACAAGUCCUUCAAAGGAUCAACCCUUCACAGGAAGGCCUGUCAUGAGAUUUGAAUUUGACCAUCUUGUGCAUUUAUGAAGAAGACCAAAAGCUGCAAAGGCAAACACUUCCAAUGGCAGAAACUGAGAGUUUGCAUGAUGGCAUUUUCUCAGACGCUGAAUCUGAUGUGUACAGAUGAACUCAGGAGCCUACUAGAGUUGCCAAGGAACUUGUGAUUGAACUGAAGACCAGAAACGCAAAGAAAAUCAGUCAAACCAGUCCUAAAGAAAUGAGGAAUGAACAUGGACUUCUUGUGCCCCAAAAGAAAAGACAGAAAGCUCCUAAAAUGAGCAAAUAAGCUGUGCAUCAUCUCUGUGAUUUGGGAAGGAAAUGACUGAAUAUGAUGAAGCCAAUUGAUGAAGAUAUCAAUUGAAUGGCCACCGAGUGCAUCACUGCUACCUGAACCCAUCAGUUAUCUUCUGUGAAGACUGCAUUCACAAACCGCUCUACUGCGACAGCUCAGAUGUUACGGCCUGUAAAAGUAAACAUCACAGCUAAACAACGAGAGCUAGUUGUGGUGGGAUUCUUUUGGCCAAUAUCCCCAACAAGAAUCAAUGUUAAGUCCAGUGCAACAAUUAUAAAUAAAAAUACUAUAUAUUGUUUAUUGAUUUACCAUAACCUAAAUACAUGUUUUGGCCCUCCAG